rnacentral:rRNA from 1 species
GACGAACGCUGGCGGCGUGCUUAACACAUGCAAGUCGAACGCUGAAGCUCAGCUCGCUGGGUGGAUGAGUGGCGAACGGGUGAGUAACACGCGAGUAACCUGCCCUCUUCUUUGGGAUAACGCCCGGAAACGGGUGCUAAUACUGGACAUUCACUGAUUCUAGCAUGGGGGUUGGUGGAAAGGUUUCUUCUGGUGGGGGAUGGGCUCGCGGCCUAUCAGCUUGUUGGUGGGGUGAUGGCCUACCAAGGCUUUGACGGGUAGCCGGCCUGAGAGGGUGACCGGUCACAUUAGACCUGGGAUACGGCCCAGACUCCUACGGGAGGCAGCAGUGGGGAAUAUUGCACAAUGGGCGAAAGCCUGAUGCAGCGACGCGGCGUGAGGGAUGGAGGCCUUCGGGGUGUAAACCUCUUUCGCUCAUGGUCAAGCCGCAGCUUUGGGUUGUGGUGAGGGUAGUGGGUAAAGAAGCGCCGGCUAACUACGUG